UCAGUUUUACGCUAGUUUGUGAAAAGAAAAUAAAAACUCGUUCUUUCUUCUUCAAGAAACAAGAAACACGCACACAUUGUGGUGUUGGCUGGGUCGCUCAAAGAUCACAAAACUGGUAUGCUCGACUUGUGCCGAUAAUCUCUUCUAUUUGCUAUGGUAAUUUCUUCAAAUAUUUGCAUUUUGAUUAUUAAACGACAACAUUCAAUCUUCUGCAUCAUAAAAUCAAAACCCUUUUUCCUUUUUUGAUGAAAAUGAGGGCAUAAACCCUAAAUCAAGAACAUUCAAUUUCUGCUUGAUAAAAGGUAUAACUUUACCCAUUUUCUCAUUCUUGAUCAUUCAAAAAUAUUCAAUCUUCUACUUGAGAAAAAAAAACUCUUAAUCGUGCAAAAAUGUGUUUUGUGCUAAGAUCAUGUUUUCGAUUGAUACUGUUAUGAUACUGAUUUUAUAAUUCUUGAUAUUUCAAGAACAUUCAAUUUAUGCUUGAUGAAAACACAAAACUUUAAUUGAGAAAACAUGUUAUGUAAUUGGAACUUCAUUCCAACAUAUUUGCCCUGUUUGGUUGGUAAUUAAUACCUAUUGGUAAUGAUGAUGGGUUGUCGAUUUUUUCAUCCUUGAGUAUUCAAGAACAUACUUUCAAUCUUCUGCUUCGGGAAAAAAUGAACCUUCAAUUUUUGUAAGAGAUUAAAUGUCGCUGAAUGUGAAUGUGAAAACUAGCAGUUGCCGUAAUUGCUACUCAAGCAAUUGUCCCUAUCGGUGUCCGUUGUUGCCGUAAUUGCUACUCAAGAAAUUGUCCCUAUCGGUGUCCGUUGUUGCCAUAAUUGCUACUCAAGCAAUUGUCCCUGUCGGUGUCCGCUUUUUUAUUAAAAAAAAUUAUGAAUUUUUAUUCAUAAUAAUGCAUGAAUGAAUAUAUAUAUUCUGCUUUGAUGACCCUUAGUCCUCAAUUCAAUUCUGCAACUGCAAUUAAAAGUGAUUUAGGAUUAUGAACUUAAAGACCCUCGUCCCUAAUGUUACUUAAGUUUUGGAAGGGAUGGAUGCCUAAAUGACCUUUGAGGAAAAUGCAUUAUGAAUCCUUUAUUCAUAAUGGAAAAGUUGGAUGGUGGAUUUCAAAGCAAAGUAAUUUUAAUAUGAAAUUUAUUCAAAAUGUGGAUGGAUAGACACUGUUCCAUGAUUUUUGAAAAUUUUGGAUGAUCCCUUAAUGUGAAAGCUUGUUGUUGACCCUAGUCCUAAAUGAUAUUAUCUAUUGUGCUUUGAUGGACCCUUAGUCCCUAAAUGCAAUUUUGCAACUAUAGUAUGAAAUGAUUUUGCAAAUGCAAAAGAAAUUGUUUCCUUGUGUUUGAUUGGCCCUCUGAUAAGGGUUUCAAAGGAAUUCUCUAAGGAAGAAACGAAUCAACUGAAGCAAAGUACAAAGAAACUAUUUAUAAUAUGGCAUUACGAUUAAUGGAGGAAUCCAUAAUGAGGUUGUAUAUCUGAUAAAAUUUGAUAAAAUAUGGUGGGUGCUCUGUCACUGGUAUAGUAUAAGAUUUGUGUUGAUAAUUAUUAAUGUAAGUCUUGGAUCAUUCAAUAAGAUUCAAUCUUCUGCUUGAUAAAUACAAAAUCUUUUAUUACUAUACAUAGCGGUGUUCAGGUUCAACGAUGAUUUGGAAACUGAAAUCUCAUGGAACUGUUUGUGGAGGACUGUAACUGAAGUUAAAAGCAUCCUGGUGGGUAAGGGGAAGGUUGAUGGUUCAGGUGUUGGUGUUAAUGGGGCUUCAAGCCAAAUUAGAGCAACUUUCUAUCCCAAAAAAAUGAAAAGUCAGAUCAAGAGGUUGGGUUAAUAGGUUUGCGAAUGCUGGUAAUACUGCCAUGGAAGUUGCUGGGAAUACAGGAUUACGGGUGAGUUAUAAUUUCAAAACCAUCUGCGUAAGUGUUGUGUCAUGUUAUUUCUUUCAAUUGUCUCAUUGGAACCUGGAUUUUAUUAGUUAUGUGAUAUGGAGCCUAGAUACUCCAAAAUUGCUAAAGCAUCGGUGGUAUACAUGUAUCAGAUACCAAUAUGCCUACCAUAUUCCUCAAAAUAUGCUCCGAGUUCCCUCUAAAUUGUAUAUAUUUCAAAAGAAAAUUAUUGACUUAUGUUUCCGAGAUACUUCAUCGAUACUUUGAUAGCGAUAUCAUUUCCAAAAUCUUGCCUUAAUGCUUUUUGCACCGUAUCAUUCUUUAUCAUGCUGUGAGCAGAAAAUUAGAGUAUAUAUAUACAUACUCUUUUGUUCAUUUUUUGAGGAAAUGUAAAACAAUACUGAGUGGCAUGGUUGUGAGAGAUUGAGAUGUACAUUAUCUUAUUCAAUAUAGUUGCGGCCACUGGCUUAUUUAUUUAGUAGAGUUGUCCCUUUGUGAAUUAGACUUAGAAGCUAUGGGUUUUGGACAAUGAGAAUGUACAAAAAUGAUAAAAUUAGUAUUAGAGAGUAAAAAAUUAGUAAUUGAAUAGAGUCAAGCCUUGUUUUAAAAAUUAUCUCCUAACAUUCAAUUUCUACUUGAAAACACGAAACUUUAAUUGAGGAAACAUGUUUUGUCCCAAUAACUUUCAAUCUUCUGCUUAUUAGAAACUUCAUUCCAACAUAUUUUCCCCGCUAUUGGUAACGAUGAUGGGUUUUCAAUUUUUUAAUUCUUGAGUAUUCAAGAACUUUCAAUCUUCUGCUUCGGAAAAAAAUGAACUUUCAAUUUUUGGAAGAGACUAAAUGUCACUGAAUGUGAAAGCUAGUUGUUGCCACAAUUGCCUAUCUCUAUCGGUGUCUACUUUUCUAUUAAAAAAAAUUGUGAUUUUUUAUUCAUAAUAAUGCAUGAAUGAAUAUAUAUUCUGCUUCAAUGACCCUUAGUCCCUAACUUCAAUUUUGCAACUGCAAUUAAAAAUGAUUUUUCAUUAUUAACUUAAUGACCCUUGUCUCUAAUGUUACAUAAGUUUAGUUUUGUAAGGGAUGGAUGCCUCAACGACCUUUGAUGAAAAUGCAUUAUGAAUUCUUUAUUCAUAAUGGAAAAGAUGGAUGGUGACUUUUAAUUUUAAUAUGAAAUUUAUUCAAAAUGUGGAUGGAUAGACUUUGUUUCAUGUUUUUUGUAAGGGUGGCCCAAAAAUCUUUGAUGAUGCCUUAAUGUGAAAGCUAGUUGUUGACCCUAGUCCCUAAAUAAACCCUAAAUCAAAAACAUUCAAUCUUCUGUUUGAUAAAAGGUAUAACUUUACCCAUUUUUCUCAUUCUUGAUCAUUCAAGAACAUUCAAUCUUCUGCUUGAGAGAAAAAAAAACCUUAAUCAUGCAAAAAUGUGUUAUGUGCCAAGAUCAUCAUCUUUACGAUUGAUACCUGUUGCGAUACCGGUUUUUUAAAUUCUUGAUAUUUCAAGAACAUUCAAUUUUUGCUUGAAAACACGAAACUUUAAUUGAGAAAACGUGAUCUGUCCCAAUAACUUUCAAUCUUCUGCUUAUUGGAAACUUCAUUCUAACAUAUUUGCCCUGUUUGGUUUAUAAUCAAUACCUAUUGGUAACGAUGAUGGUUUUCAAUUUUUUCAUUCUUGAGUAUUCAAGAACUUUCAAUCUUCAGCUUCGAAAAAAACGAACCUUUAGUUUUUGUAAGAGAAGUCACUGAAUGUGAAUGCUAGUUGUUGCCAUAAUUGUUACUCAAGCAAUUGUCUCUAUUGGUGUUCGCUUUUCUAUUAAAAAAAAUUAUGAAUUUUAUUCAUAAUAAUGCAUGAAUGAAUAUAUAUUCUGCUUUUCAUGACCCUUAAUUAGUCCCUAAAUUCAAUUUUGCAACUGCAAUUAGAAGUGAUUUCGCAUUAUGAACUUAAUGACUCUUGUCUCUAAUGUUACAUGACCUUUGAGGAAAAUGCAUUAUGAAUUCUUUAUUUAUAAUGGAAAAGUUGGAUGGUGGCUUUCAAAGCAAAGUAAUUUUAAUAUGAAAUUUAUUCAAAAUGUGGAUGGAUAGAAUUUGUUCCAUAUUUUUGUAAGGGGGGCCCAAAAAUGUUGGAUGAUGCCUUAAUGUGAAAGCUAGUUGUUAAAUCAAGAACAUUCAAUCUUCUGCUUAAUAAAAGGUAUAAUUUUACCCAUUUUUCUCAUUCCUGAUCAUUCAAGAACAUUUCAUCUUCUGCUUGAGAAAAAAAAUACCUUAGUCGUGCAAAAAUGUGUUUCUGUGCCAAGAUAUCAUGUUUACAAUUGAUAGCCGUUGUGAUACCAAUUUUUUAAUUCUUGAUAUUUCAAGAACAUUCAAUCUUCUGCUUGAAAACACAAAACUUUAAUUGAGGAAACAUGUUCUGUCCCAAGAACUUUCAAUCUUCUGCUUAUUGGAAGUUUCAUUCCAACAUAUUUGUCCCGUUUGGUUUAUAAUCAAUACCUAUUGGUAACAAUAGUGGGUUGUUGAUUUUUUCAUUUUUGAGUGUUAAAUGUCAUUGAAUGUAAGAUAUUAAAAGUCACUGAAUGUGACAACUAGUUGUUGCCAUAAUUGCUACUCAAGCAAUUGUCCCUAUCAGUGUCUGCUUUUCAAUUAAAAAAAGUUAUGAAUUUUUAUUCAUAAUAAUGCAUGAAUGUAUAUAUAUUCUGCUUUGAUGAACCUUGGUCCCUAAAUUCAAUUUUGCAACUGCAAUUAGAAGUGAUUUUGCAUUAUGAACUUAAUGACCCCUGUCUCUAAUGUUAAAUAAAUUUUGUAAGGGAUGGAUGCCUCAAUGACCUUUGAGGAAAAUGCAUUAUGAAUUCUUUGUUCAUAAUGGAAAAGUUGGAUGGUGGCUUUCAAAGCAAAGUAAUUUUAAUAUGAAAUUUAUUUAAAAUGUGGAUGGAUAGACUUUGCUCCAUGAUUUUUGUAAGGGUGACCCAAAAAUGUUGGAUGAUGCCUUAAUGUGAAAGCUGGUUGUUGACCCUAGUCUCUAAAUGCUAUUAUCUAUCGUGCUUUGAUGGACCCUUAGUCCCUAAAUGCAAUUUUGCAAUCACAAUAUGAAGUGAUUUUGCAAAUGCAAACGAAAGUUUCCUUGUCUUUGAUUCGCCCACUGAUAAGGGUUUCAAAAGAAUUCUCUAAGGAAGAAACAAAUUAACUGAAGCAAAGUACAAAGCAACUCUUUGGAGUCCUCCAUGAGUUUGUUGUAUCUCUUACACUGAUCAUCUGUAUUAUUCAAAUGAAGAACUUGAUCCAGCUUUGAAAAUAGUUUGUUGCCCGAUUUCGCCUGUUAUACCCUAUAAUUACAAGGAGAGUAUAUAUCCUGUAUCAGUUUUUACUUUUACGCUGAAUAAUUUUGGCAAAACAACAACAUAUGUCAUCUUGCUUUUCAGAUGGACUAUAUAAGUGCUGUGUUUUUUUAGUGGCUGUUAUAGUUACAGUAUGUUAGUUUUAAAUACUUGUUUUUUGUUGAGGAUUUGAUGUGGGCAUUCAGAAUUCUGUUAGAGGACAUUCUGAAUUUACUGGUCAGCACUUCAACUCAAAGCUAACGUAAGAAAAUUGUCAGUUGGUUACUUUUCUUCAUCCCCACAGCUUGCCAGUACUUUAUUGUAACAUUCAUGACACAUAUGAUACAGGAGUUUGGAUAUUAGGGAUUAGAUCCGGUAAUACCCUGUAACUAUACCAGGAGUAGCAAUAUUUCGGAAUACCACUCGUUGAUGUAGAAACGGUGAACACAAGUAGAGAUUUUAGGGUUAAGAAGAAUUUGUUGAAUUAUUGGAUUCCUUAUUCUCUUGGCCACAACGGCUUAUAAAUAGCAAGCUGGUUACAACAUCAACCAAUCAUUGCAGAGGAAAUUCUAAUACGUCAAAAUACAUAAAGGGCAAAACAGUAAUGUAUUAUUUGCUUCAAAUUGUAAAAUAAUUUAAAUUGUAAAAUAACUAAUUAUUCUAUGACAACACAUAUCACAUUAUGCCAGAAUGCCAAGGUGCUCCUACAUCACAAGUAACUCUAACUUAUUAAUAUCUUUUUAGGAAAUGGAUGAAAAGAAAUACAAUCCUUAAAUUUGUAAAUUAACGGAUAUAUGCAUGUACAGGACUGCGAAAGAGCAAUCUCCCGUCACAUUUGCAAUGCCGCAGAAGAGACUGAAUAUGUUCAUGUCUCAGAAUGCCCUGUCUUUGUUAUAUCUGGUUCUUACGAGGGUAUCUCAACGAAGGACAUGUGGCAUGAAAUUAAACAGGUUAUGCACCUUUAAGAUCUUAUUUUUAUGAAAUAUAUCCGUUGGUGUUAUUACUAUGUUGAGACAGUUGAGUUAUUCAUUCUGUCUUCCUGCAACUGGUUAACGACAGCAAGUUACAAGCUGUUGUUAAUAGAGCUAGGCAGCCAAGUAAGGUUUACGGAUCAAAUGAGGAUGAUGAGGAUGCUUUAAAUGCACUUUCAUCGAUCAAACUAACUGAAAUCCAGUCAAAUGAAUCGUUUGCUACUAUGAUAGUGCAGGGUCUAGAAAAACCUGCAAAUGUAACAACUAUUUACUAUUUAUCAUUUAAUGUUACACUUGUUUAUCAUGAGUUCAGAUAUGCUCCAUUACCUUAUCCUCCAUUACCUUUCCAUUACGUUGCUCAGAUCGUGACACAUGGAUAAAUAUUAAUGGAGCAUAUCUAAACUUGUUUAUCAUGAUCAGUGUAUUAACGUACAUUUUUUGUGCAACAUGAGUCAUCCAUUUUAAAAGAACGGCUGCUUAAUAAAUUUUCACCAGAUGAUGCUUGUCCAUUGGGAGUCCAGUAGUCACUUGAUACAACAGGAAAUAUUUGCCAGUCUGGACUAAAGGACGAUAAACAUUCUGACAUGGUUGAUGAUGACAGUCCAACUUCUGGUUUGGGAAGCCAAGCUAAUGCUGGUGGACAACAGUUUUCAGAUAAUCUAAUCCUGCUGAGUGGUGAUGACAUUUUGGGUUCAGUAAGUUUUUCUGUUCAUUGAUUGAUAUAUAUGUACACACUAAUAACAAGUUCAGUUUAAAUUAUGUUAUAGGGAAUAAUGAAAAAUCUGAUUUUUGAUUUUUCUCUAAAGUUCCCCUAAAAAGAUUUUGAUUAUAAGAUAUUUUAAUAAGCUAAUCCAAACACACAUUUAGAAUUGCACUAGUUAGAGAUAAAUACUAUUUUGAGACCUACACCUACAGGUUAAGUUUUGGUCUUUUGUAUUGAUUUAGCUAUUGACAUGGUAUUAAGGGUGUGUUGGGUAACAAACUCAGUUAAGUGCUUAAUGAAUUGGUGCUUUUCAUAUAAACAUCUAUGUAUAAGAUAUUUCUAAAAACAGUUUAUAGACAUGUUAUGAGCUAUUUUUAUAAGCUCUCUGAAAUUCAGUGAUUAUUCUAUAAAUAAGUCCUCCUCCAAACGCACCCUAAAUCUUCUAUGAUACUUUUAAUUUCUGAGGGAUUAAAUUGGUUUUGGUGUUUUUUUCUUAGGAGUCGUGUUUUUAGGAUAACAUGUUUAGGAAACCUCAUGAAAAUAUUAACCAUUUAAGCUACACAUAAGCUAUUGAGGAGAGUCAAGAAAGUGGCUUUCGCAUAAAAGUUCAGUAUAUUUUCCGACCUCAGCACAACAAAACUAGAAAGACAUAAAGGUACUUUCCUAUUAAGAAUCAGAGCAAAUGGAAGGAUCUCAAUGCCCAAAGCUUUUUCAAGUUUUGUGUAUUAACCUAUUAGAUAGCCAUGAAUGAAAUGAAACAGUAGCAAUACCCAUUCGAUAGUCUAAAGCAAGUUAUACUGCAAAGGAGAACAAGGAAUUAAAGAGUUGUGUUUGUGUUGGUUAAUUAACUAUCAGAGACUUCUUAACACAUGACACAAGCACUAAAACUCCAAAAUAAGGAGCCUUGUCUGCAUUGGACACUUGGUGAAACUGAACCGACACCAAAUUCUACCGUUACAUUUUUAAUAGGUGGGAACUUGGCUACCCAUUUCAUGAAAUUGGGUCAUCUAGCCCAUCCUAGGUGUCAUAAAUAUAAUUGUUGAAAAAAUGCCACUUAUAAUACAAUUAAUGCAUGUGGUUGUUUUCAAAUUAUGGCAAUAUAAUUUGCAAUAUUUAUAAAUUCAACCUCUAUAGACUAAGACUAUACCGGUAAGAAUAAUGCUAGCAACACACUCUUUAACAAACACACUCCAACACACUCUCUUUUAUUGGUUGAAAUUCACAUGGGUCCCAUAAAAAAAUGUGGACCAAUAUAAUUUUUAUGGGAUCCAUAUAACUUGUAACCAAUAGAAGAGAGUGUGUUAGAGUGUGUUUAUUAUUGGAGUGUGUUGCUAGCACUCCUCAUACCGGUAAUUACUCUGUUUUGUUCCCAAGGUUGUAGUUUUCCAUACCUGCACAUCAUAAACAUUCCAAGAGAAAUGCAACUACGUAGUUAUGGUUUUAUUUUAUUUUUGUUUUGAUAUUUUAAUUAUUUUAAUUAACUUGCUUCCAAAAACUAUUGGUUGGAUCACGGUUAAUUUAUUCGUACAAAAAUGAUUUAUUUUUGCUCUUUUUUUCUUUCAUAAAUCUUAUUCAAAUUUUUUAAAAAAUAAAAAAUCUUCAAAAUAACUAAUAGAAUGACUUUUCUUUUUAUAAAAAGAGUUAAAUAAGUUUUUUGUCCCUACAAAUAUAUUGAAUUUUGAUUUAUUCCCUAAAAAUAAAAAUGAGAUGUUUUCAAUCCCUAAAAAAAAUUGUUUUAUUAUUUGUCGGAUGUAUGUUGUUUAUCAUUACAAAAUGUUAACCUUCUAAGUUUAGUCCUUGCAUAAUUUCUAUUAAAUUUUUAGUCCCUGUAAAAUAAUCAUGCAUUCAGUUUUGGUCCAUACAACUAAGACAACAUGUAUUUUUUUAAUGAUUUUUUAGCAUGUAUAUUUAUUAUUUAGAACAUCAUAAAAAAAUUCUAAAAAAAAAAAAAA